rnacentral:rRNA from 1 species
UUGACCUCAAAUCAGGUAGGACUACCCGCUGAACUUAAGCAUAUCAAUAAGCGGAGGAAAAGAAACCAACAGGGAUUGCCUUAGUAACGGCGAGUGAAGCGGCAAAAGCUCAAAUUUGAAAUCUAGCACUUUCAGUGUUCGAGUUGUAAUUUGAAGAAGGUAACUUUCGAGUUGGCUCUUGUCUAUGUUCCUUGGAACAGGACGUCACAGAGGGUGAGAAUCCCGUGCGAUGAGAUGCCCAAUUCUUAGUAAAGUGCUUUCGAAGAGUCGAGUUGUUUGGGAAUGCAGCUCUAAGUGGGUGGUAAAUUCCAUCUAAAGCUAAAUAUUGGCGAGAGACCGAUAGCGAACAAGUACAGUGAUGGAAAGAUGAAAAGAACUUUGAAAAGAGAGUGAAAAAGUACGUGAAAUUGUUGAAAGGGAAGGGCUUGAGAUCAGACUUGGUAUUUUGUGUGCCUUUCCUUUUUGGUUAGGUUUCUGCAGCUUACUGGGCCAGCAUCGGUUUGGGUGGUAGGAUAAUGACAUUGGAAUGUAGCUUCGCUUCGGUGAAGUGUUAUAGACUUUGUUGAUACUAUCUAUCUAGACCGAGGACUGCGUCUUUGACUAGGAU